GGGGCUGGCUCUGGCUCUGCUGCUCUGCUCUCUGCCGCGCUCUGUCCUUUUCCCUCUCGCUGCUGCCUGCCGCCGUGCUGUACUGUGCUGUGCUGCCUUCCUGCCUAUACGGCCGCUCUAUAGCCCAUACCAUACCCUCUACUCUACUACACUGUAUACGCUGCGCGCCUGCUGCUGCUGCUGCUGCCUGCGGACAAUAUUCGUAAGCGAGCAGAGGAAUCCUGCUGCUGCUGCUGCUGCGCUGCGCUCUGUAGCUCUGUACUAGGCGAGGAAAGCCCAGAGAGAGAACAACACGGAAUAACGAAAAGCCACUGCUGGAGAGUGAGCGAGUUGCUGCGGGAGUUAACCGUCUUCUCUGCUUCAAGCGAGAGACCAACUUCAUUGUAGUAUCAGAAGGAGACGAGAGACAACGACGAUAUAGUUCUCAUAGUUUGAGACCUCGGCAAUUAGAUACUUGCGAUACUUGCUCGUGGCAGUAGGUAAACGCCGAGGAACACAUUGACAUCGAUACAAUCAUGGAAG